UCCGGCUUAACGCCGGCAGUCUCCCUAGAGUGCCCAACUGAAUGGUGGCAACUAAGGACGAGGGUUGCGCUCGUUGCGGGACUUAACCCAACACCUCACGGCACGAGCUGACGACAGCCAUGCAGCACCUGAACCGGCAGUCCCCGAAGGGAAAAUCCUAUCUCUAGGACAGUCCACCGUUGUCAAACGCUGGUAAGGUUCUGCGCGUUGCUUCGAAUUAGACCACAUGCUCCACCGCUUGUGCAGGCCCCCGUCAAUUUCUUUGAGUUUUAAUCUUGCGACCGUACUCCCCAGGCGGAAUGCUUAAUGCGUUAGCUGCGCCACCGACGGGCAAGCCCGCCAACGGCUGGCAUUCAUCGUUUACGGCGUGGACUAC
rnacentral:misc_RNA from 1 species